GGCAGGAAGGCGCAAGGUGCGCGUUGGGUUCUUUCGCAAUCAUUCGGUUCAAUAAGCAACUCGAAGGUCCCCGUUCGACUCGGGGUCCUGCCA